rnacentral:lncRNA from 1 species
ACAUUUUCUAUGAAAUUUUUAGAAAUUGUUAUUCAGUUCUCCAAAGUGAAAAUUGUGGAAUGAGACAGUGUGCUUAUCUUCAUCCACAAGAAUUGCUGGUUUAAGAACUAAGAGUGUUUCCUUUCUGAAGUGAGAACUUAGCCUGUAUCUGUCUAGAUCCCAGCCAUGCACAAAAACGCCUUGAAUUAUUGAUUGAGAACGUGGUUUUCAGGGUGCUGACAGCCCAUUAAUGUGGAAUUGCUGGUGUUACCAUAUCCCUUGCUUCUGCUAGAAGCUGAGAAGAGUUGAGAUGUGUUUAAUGAAAGAACUUUUUUUCCAUAUCCCCAAUUUGAUAAUGUCCCUAAAGAGACCCCCUUUAGUCAGGGGUGAGGGUUGUUAGGUUUCCCUACACCUUUUGCUUCAAACUUUAAAGUCAUAAAUUGGAUUUGGAGCUAGGUGUAUACUAAACAGUAAAUUUGAAUUCAUUUUAAACACUCAGACUUCAAGGAAAAGCCUAAAUAAAGGUUUAAAGGGGAAUGGGAAGUGAUAGCAAUGUAAAGUUCAGAUAGUUUUCAGUUGUGCUGUAAAGUCAAGAACAACGUCCAGUUACAACUCUAGUCAAAUAUGGCCUUGGAACUUUACCUUAUUAUUCAUGCAAAUGUUCAGAUUGUUGGCAAAAAAGUAAAAGUGGGAAAUUGGUCAUAAUGAAUUUAUUUCUCUCAAGUUUUAUCUUCCCUUUUCAAAAUGAGAUAAUUAUCCCAUUAUUAUAGAAUACUCAUUUCAUGAUUCUGACCCAUUUCAGCCAACUAUUUUCAAAUAGAUGGGACAUUUCCAUAUUGGAUUUUGGUAUAAGACUCAUAUUAAUUAGUGUCUUAUAAGACUCAUAUUAAUUAGUGAUCUCUGCUGUGGUUGCUCAAUGUACAACAAACACAUACCAUCUCUCUGAUACCAAAACUAUAUGAAAACAGUCCAGUGGACAUUUAAAAAUUUCUCAAAUCUGCCUAUUAUCAAACAACUGCAGGAAUGGAAUGGAUUCAACAAUUAUU